CCUACCUUUCUUUCCCGACGCUGCCCUAUCAGGAGAAGAGAUUGCGUCGGCUUUGCAGGUAGAUGGAUCGCUUCAGAUCGGUGUUGUAAUGGUCGGCUUGAAGGCAUCGAACGAAGAGGGUUUCUUGGGCCAAAGAGUUGCAUCAGGCAUUACUGUAGCUGUGUCUAUGAGCCAUUUCACGGUGGAUUUGCUAUGGAACCCAACAGAAGGUAGAAAUGGCGUAUCCUUUUGCUCGGUAGAUCUCUAUCUCUUUUCUCCUUUUGAAGAUGUUAGCUAGUUUGACUGGUAAAGAUCUUGAUAGUUUAUCAGAAGCUUAUGAGCUCGAAUUCCAUUUACGUCGCUUACCUUUUUAACAAUCAAUUAGAUUAAAAAAAUAGUUCAAUAAUUGAUAACUUAUAGAACCAAAAAAGGCGGCGUGCUUAUCUCGGUUCUCUACUCCUCAAUCAACAUGGGACUAAACUAAACGUGCUUAUCGAUACCCCUAGUAGGGGAGCUGAGAUUUCUUGGGCCCUCUUUCUAGCACUAUCUGAUAAGUCAUCGUUUGUCUUUGACGUUCGAAGCACGAUGACUCAGGGAGGAAUUGUCUGCUUUGGAUGGGCAUAGAUAGUUUUGACCUUUCGGGGUGAGGGUGAUGUGGGAUUAGACAUGCUUAUCAAUAAUGUAUAUGAAAUUUUAGUUACAUGUUGUUGAUCUCUUUCUACUAAGUUAAAAAUUUUCAUAUGGUGGUGAGAUGUGUUAGUAAAUGAUUGGAUUAUCAGAUUUUACCCAAUAUUUCCUAUGCACUUGGCCGUGUUAAGACUUAGAGCAUCGCAAGCUUAAUCUAAUUUAUCGCUUGCGCACAUAGAAUCUUAUAAUUAGGUACCAUGUCACUUUGCUUUGAGGGAGGAGUAUCAAGUCAUAUGAACUGUCUUUUUUUUUUUUUUUUUUCCUUCCUUUUCUUUGCUUCUGAACCAGUAAUGAGAAAAGCUCAAAUAGAGAUUAUUAUGGUAGUGGGGUUCAUCAAUUUUUAGUCACAUUUAAAAGCAUUUAUGUGCCGCUAGAAUUUAAAGGUUUUAUAGAUAUGCAAUGCAAAAAAUGCCAUUUUAGAAACAUGGUCUUUUUAAUACUUUAGGAAUAGAUCGGAAAUUGUAAUUUAUUAACAACCAUGAUCACAUUGCAUCCAUAUUCCCGUAGGAGAUAUACAACAUACUGUUGUAGAGGAUGAAAUGGACCACUUGGUUUCUUUUAGUUACAGACGAGAUUCUACUCUCACAUAUGAAUGUUCACAAUUGCACUUGCCAGCACUCUUUAUUCAAGAUUACUACAAGGACCAUGAGGAUUAGCUGAAUUUGCAUAUUGGAUUUGCCUUCCCUAGUUGAUGUUUAGUGCUGAUACUGUGUCUAAUUUAUAGUGAGUAGCAGUAUCGACUCCACCUUCAUCUGAUGGCUCACCAAGCAAGCUAUCAGUCUCCUUAGGUGGUAGUCAUUGAUGCAGCUUGAGUUUCCUCAGCUUGUCUAGCUCUUCUGCCACUUCCUUCAUCGGCGAGUGCUCUGACUUCCUGAAUCAGUUCUUCUCCUUCCUCUUUUCACUUGAUUAUCCGAGAUAUCUGAUAGCCGCUUCUCCAUCGCUAAAGUGAAAGUUGAUGCAAGGGUCCUCUCUUCUUUAGAUCUUGCGAAAUAAAGUGCAUUCUUACCAGUAAGCAGUUCUAGAAGAACCACACCAAAACUAUAAACAUCACUUCUGACUGUUAAUUGGCGAGUUUGAGGGUACUCAGGGUCUAGGUAAUCCCUGGUUCCUUGCACCAAGGUACCUAGCUGAUCUUUAUCCUUUGGCACUAGCUUUGAAGCCUCGAAAUCGGAAACCUCUGUAAUGAAAUUUUCAUCCAAAAAUAUGUUGGAGGACUUCACAUCUCCAUGAAUAAUUAGAGCUGAAGCUGUUGAAUGUAGGUAAGCCAAGGCAUCAGCAGACUCUAAUGCAAUCUUUAGGUGGGUGGGUACCCAUGGAAAAAGGAGAUAUGAUGUUCUUUUCAUGGAUUAGAUGAAGCGACCCAAGAGCUUAACUAUAUUUUUGUGGUUGAUUAGCAACAAGAUAAGCAUCUCUUUUCCGUAUUCUUUCUUUUGGCUCUCAUCAAUAACCUUAUAUUUCUUUAUGUCGACGACACGAUUGUCUUCUAAUAUUCCUUUGUGAACAGUUUCCUGUCCUCCUCGCCCUAGGAUAUAGUUCUUGUCAAACAUAUAUGUUGCCCAUUAUAGUUCUUUUGUAUUGUAAAUAUCUUAAAUGCAAGCCCUUGUUUCUCCUUGAUCUCUUCCAGUAAUUGCCAACCCCCAUGUUCACUAAAAUACUAUGUGCAAUUAUUUCUUUCUUCAAUUUUUGAUUUAGUGAGCACUUAAGUGUACAAAGAAAUUUUAUUGGCGACAUGCAAGGAUUGCCUUUUCGGUUAUCGGAUCCAUUUCGGCAAUCUAUUAAACUAAUACGUAUCGAUCGAUACCAGUGUACCAGCACAUAGUAUGUUGGUGUGUACUAAUGUUUCGAUGAGGAAGAAAAAGAGGGUGAAGAGGAAGGGAUGGCGAAGGAACAAAGGAGAAAGGAGGGAGAAAGAAGAAGAAAAACGAAUAGGAUGUGAAGGAGAAACAACGGUAGCCACAACAACGAAGAGGCAACAUAAUAGCUAAAGUCAAGUCAUUAAGCAAGUAAGAAAAUUUGUAAUACUCUCGAGCUUAAUCUCAUAUCAAGAUGGGUAAAAACUUAAUAAGCAUAUUAUUAUCAACUUGGGUCUAGGCAUUUUGGAUCAAUGGUUUAAGUCCAACUGAGUUGAUAGAUCAGUUAUCCUAUUGGAUUAAGUUGUUAUGGUUAUUGUAAUGUCUCCUUUACGAAGAAUUAAGCCAGUUUUGUCUAUCCCAUAACUCAAAACUUUAGUUUUUGGAUCUCAGAUUUGUAAAUUUUUCUCAUAAGAGAUCUUUUGGAUGUCUGCUCUGGUAAGAGUGAGAUGCAAGAUCUCACACAAAAUGUCCAGAAGUAAGAUUUCAGAUAGCUGUUGGAUAAGAGGUUGCGAUAUGUUUGGUGUAGUUUGGUUGCCAAGAUCUCACCAACUCUAAAGCUGGAAGAUAGACAGUUGCCAUUGAACGAGAGCCGAUGAUGGCGAACUUUGGGUGGGUAUCGGAGAAGGCUUAGAGUGUGGCCAAAACCAGUUGCCAGUGGUGGAGUUGGAUGCGCUUGCCCUUAACAUCAUAGAGCUGCGACGAUGUUAUGAUUUGAGAGCAUGCGCACUCGGCCUCGCGGCAGCCAGAUAGAUGUUUUCCAUGAUCUCCACGUUGCCUGGGAAGGGCCGUAGCGGGUCUCUUGGUGCAAUCUAUCACGCGGAGGGCCGAUACGAAGUGGGUACGGGAUGUUGGCCUGGCCGCGCGUAUAACAGAUGCCGCUGCUGCCAUCGUCGUCGGUAACUGGUACGGCAGAAGCAUCGUAGCCUCUCUGUCUCUCGGUGUCACAUAAUUGAGGCUCGGUAUGUACGGGUUUUUGGACAUUAGGGGUAUCAGGAUUAUGGCAAAGAUGCCAUAAAUAUAUAUAUGCUUCUAUCUUUGUCACACUGGCUUGGCCCCCUAGCCUCGUCUGCACAUUCGCCCUUUGCCCUACUAAUCUCACCGCCACCGCCCACGCCCACUAGUCUCUCUUUCCUCUUCCGCUUGCCGUUCCCAUUACUUUCUUUCUCUCGGAGUUUUAGAAAGGUCAGGGUACCGAAAGCAUUGGUCCUUCCCUCUAUUACUAGAGGAUAUGGGCAUCACAAAUCCGUACCCCUCGUCACUUUCUCUUCCCGUACUAUUUGUAUAUUACCAGAGGAAUAUAUGGGUAUCACAAGCCGCCUAUUACAGCAGCCCACAGUCCUCCCGUCUCGUUAGGAGUACGAACGGAGGACUUACUUGUUAUGAAGACCACUUUUCCAUUCGGGUGAUGGCAGUCAUCAGCUUAGCCGGAAAACAUCGGACCUCCCCUUCUGGUUCGAGUCCCAUUACUGAUUUAAAGACAAUUCUAACCAAUUUACCCUACGCUUAUUCGACAAAGCAACGGGACCCACACUUUCCCUUUGUCAUCCUCUCCCUCUCCCACCUCUUCUAAGGCUGCCCACAACUGGGCCCCAGCCCAGCCUCUCUCUCUGAUCGUUCUCACCACAGAUCAAUCAGGAACUGAUCACCCUGGCUCUCAGAUCAUGCUCAAGUCAUAAAAAAGAAUCACUCUCUAAUUCUUUAUCUAAGGUUCUUUUAUCUUUAUUUUAUUUUCACUGUCUUUUCAUGAUAAAAGAAGUAAAAAAGCUAUAUGUUAGCAUCUGAUUGGCUUGGAUAGGAUAUUUACACUAACUUUUGAGCUUGAGAUGAUAAAAGUUCUAUAUGUAUAGUACAAGUAUGACUUUUACUGCCUAAGGUAUUAUACUUAGCAACUAGCAGCAGUUGAAACCCAUUUCCUGGAGUAUCUAACUUGCAUGAAGACAGACAUAAUUUUGAGAGUGCAUAUUGUUAUAACCCUUAGAUAUCUCGAAUGUAAUAUAUGCUCUACAUCUUUAUUCAACCUCAGGUAACCAAAUUGAAAAUGAAAGACGUGGUAAUCCAAACCUAUGUUUAUGGCAUUCCAAGUAAGAGAUGAGAGAUAGCCAGUCUUGUUAACAGAAAUUCUGAAACCAGCAAAUCACAUACAAAUAAAUACACAAAGCAUCGCAUGUGCAAACAGAAGAAGAGAAAGAAAAGAAACGCUCACCAGCAUCUAACCUGGUUGGAGACGUCCAGAAAUGGCACACGGAAACCUUAAGAACACUAAUAACCUGACCAGCAGUUAAUAAUGUACAUUUCAGCCCAAUACCCUAGAAUAUGCCAACUCCACAACUGGCUGAAUAAAGGAACCCUCGCAUAAACAUGACAUUGGCAUCCUUCAAGUGCGGGUUCAGAUCAUGUGUUGGUCUUGAAGCUUGAUCAUCUUUGCCAUCUUCUCUCUGGAAAUGAUGAAACAACUGGGACAUGUCAGUGAAUGAUGUCUAGUAGUUCAGGUGAACAAAAGAAACAGAUUCCUGUUUGUUGGAAAAUAAAAAAUAUCAAGAAGAUUUAACCGGAGAAAUGUUACAUGAAUAGGGUGUUUAUCGAUUUAUUUCAUAGUAUAUAGAUGUUUCCUUGCACAACAAUCACAUGCAGAAGCACUCACACCUAGAGAGAGACAUCACUUUCUUUUCUUAUAACUGGAGAAUAAGCAUUUCUACUGAGGUUCACUUACUGAACACCUAAAAAAGCCGCAUGGAUUAGCAGUCAGACAAUAAUGCAAUAGAGUAUGAAGCUCCCAAGUGUUCAAAAGAUUAGUAAUUUACCAGUAGAAUUAUGAGGAGAAUGAGCUACAUUGCCUUUCGUGCUCUGCGGGGCUUGGGAUGCUGAUCUUUGGAUGCGUGGGGUUGAGCUCUGCUUUCCGUUUUCAAUAGGUAAGGAAUGCCUUUUCUUAGGUUGGAUAUCAUUCAAAUCAGGGCUGGACUUCUGAGAUGUAAUAACAUGGGCUUUUGCUUUUGCAGAUGCAGUGGCUUGCAUAUAACCUGGAAGAGAACUACUGCUACUGAGCCUGGGUUCCUGAUCAACAUGAUCGGUUUUAGCCAUCCCAAAUGAGUUAUGCCUCAUUGAAAUCCUCAAACCCUUGGUUAAAUUUUCUGUGCUACUUUUUCCAUCCGAAUCAAUAUUUGGAUUAGAUGGUGAUCUUUUACCUACCAAAUGAGACCUUUGCCUAUGGGUAUGCCUGCUAUUAUCCUUCUUACUCUUUUUGGCAUUUACAGAUACAUCGCUAGAUGGGGUUCCAUGAAGAUCAGUAGCUGUUGCAUGACUUCUUGGAGUUCCUUGAGGCGAACUAGCUUGCCCUAUCAUACCUUCCAGAUAAGUCUGCCCAUCUGAAAUAGUUGGCUCAGCUGGCUGUUGAUCGACCUGCACCGAGUCAACAGAAGCAUUCAAGUCGGCCACAGGCGAACUAAACCUCGAGCCAUCCUCAUCACCACCCAAAUGGGAAAUACUAAAAGCAUUCUCAGCAUCAGCAUUGGUGGAAUGAAUCUGUUUCUCCAGGGCCCCAAUUUCAAGAACAAUUUCCCCACCUUCCAUUUCAGAUCUGUCCAGUGAGUCAAGAGUGGAGGAGAGAGAUAUUUCAGUGCCACAUUCUGAAACUGCAGCUUGAACAAUUGAUUCAUGCAACAUUGAGCUCUCUGCCGAAAUUUCUUCUUUGCUGUUUGAAAACGAAUCCACUUGAAUAUUUUGGCUC